GACGAACGCUGGCGGCGUGCUUAACACAUGCAAGUCGAACGGUAAGGCCCUUCGGGGUACACGAGUGGCGAACGGGUGAGUAACACGUGGGUGAUCUGCCCUGCACUUCGGGAUAAGCCUGGGAAACUGGGUCUAAUACCGGAUAGGACCCUGGGAUGCAUGUCCUGGGGUGGAAAGCUUUUGCGGUGUGGGAUGGGCCCGCGGCCUAUCAGCUUGUUGGUGGGGUGAUGGCCUACCAAGGGGACGACGGGUAGCCGGCCUGAGAGGGUGACCGGCCACACUGGGACUGAGAUACGGCCCAGACUCCUACGGGAGGCAGCAGUGGGGAAUAUUGCACAAUGGGCGCAAGCCUGAUGCAGCGACGCCGCGUGAGGGAUGACGGCCUUCGGGUUGUAAACCUCUUUCAGCACCGACGAAGCGCAAGUGACGGUAGGUGCAGAAGAAGGACCGGCCAACUACGUGCCAGCAGCCGCGGUAA
rnacentral:rRNA from 1 species